GGGGAGGUAGCUUAGUUGGUAAAGUGCUUGCCAGGCAAGCAGGAAGGCCUGAGUUCAGAUCCCUAGCUUUCACA
rnacentral:tRNA from 1 species